UCUUUGAGUGCUGGAAGGAGAGGAAGUGAAUUCAUCUUCCCCUACAAAUUCAUCCGCAUUUUGCUAUUGACAGAUUCUUCUCAGAAACACGAACAUGAAACAAGGAAAGUCCAGUAUUUGAAGUCACCAACAAUCCGUACCACAAAUAAUGCUCUCAAGCAAUAUGGAGAAAGUAAAUAGCAACCACAGUGGCAGCCCAAGGCCUUCUGCAUCUCACCUGCUAGACAGGCUGCUCCUCUGCCCAGGACCUGUGUUAAGGUCCUGACUCUGCUGAAGGCUUAUUUUGGGAUGAUGGGAACAGCCCCAAUAGUCUGAAAAGGACCCAGACAGGGAGAGAUAACUGAAAAAAUGAUGAGCUUCUUGCUAGGAGUGUCUCUGUUGUGAUAGUUCUUCAGCAGUACAAGUCGACAACCACUGGGGCACUGGAUGCUCUCAAAACACGCUCUGAUGGAAGACCUGAAAGUGCAUGCUGAAGGCAGAAUGUUUUAUUGCACCUGUUUUAUGGAUGGGUGUAGAAAACCCAAAUGAUUUUCCCUAGGAAGCAAACCAAGCCCACAGGAGAGCUGCAAGCUGCAGGCAUUGCGGCAUAUUCAAGAAAGACCUAUUGAUGUCUUUUUGGUGGUCAGUCCAUAUGCACUCUAUAUGGCCUUUCAUAGCCUCUUUUCUUCUAAGUCUGUUCACUGUCAGCCACAAAUCUGUGCAGGGCACUACCUUGUCUUAAGAGGUGCUGGUGGUCUGCUGGUCAGACCUACUGGGAGAAGAUUUGAAUUCCAGACCAGCUGUGGUUCUGGUGGGACAGAGGAGGAUUGUGCUGUGCACAGCUGCCUUUCUGCCAUGGGGCCCAGACUCUGCACUGCACGUGGUACACAUCUGGUAAAACCACAUGUUGGAGGAGAAAACAGCAGCCAUAUGGGCUGCACGCGAGGACCAGUUUUAGCCCCCCAUGAGCCACUGUUUUCUGCUUGCUUGUCAUAGCCUGACCUCCAUUUGCCUUUCUCACACAGCUACAUGAAUCCUCCCAGCUCCCCACACCGUGUCCCCCAGAGCCAGGGCAUUGCACUGGUGUUGGGAGUGCUUCCAGCACCACAGUGGAACAAGAAAUGGGCAGGAGAUGAGGCAACAGGCAGCUGAAGCCUUUCCUGGUUGAAGUCCUCAUGGUGUCCUGCAGCACCCACAAGGUGAGCUGCACCCAGGUCGUGGUGGUGUACAUAGUGGGGCCAAAAUGAAGCAGGUCUUCCCCUUAACUUCUCAUUUCUGUGCAUCUUGUGGCUUUUGGCUUAUGGCAUGGUUUUUCUAUCCAUACAUUAUAUGUUUAUGUUAUUGGUUUGGGUUUCUCUUAUCCAAAUAGUGAUGAUUUGUAAAAGACCUGCAAAUUAGAGGUGCUGAGUAACAGGAGGUCCCCACCACAGCACGCAUCCAUCAGAU